GGGUUGUGAGGUUAAGCGACUAAGCGUACACGGUGGAUGCCCUGGCAGUCAGAGGCGAUGAAGGACGUGCUAAUCUGCGAUAAGCGUCGGUAAGGUGAUAUGAACCGUUAUAACCGGCGAUUUCCGAAUGGGGAAACCCAGUGUGUUUCGACACACUAUCAUUAACUGAAUCCAUAGGUUAAUGAGGCGAACCGGGGGAACUGAAACAUCUAAGUACCCCGAGGAAAAGAAAUCAACCGAGAUUCCCCCAGUAGCGGCGAGCGAACGGGGAGCAGCCCAGAGCCUGAAUCAGUGUGUGUGUUAGUGGAAGCGUCUGGAAAGGCGCGCGAUACAGGGUGACAGCCCCGUACACAAAAAUGCACAUACUGUGAGCUCGAUGAGUAGGGCGGGACACGUGGUAUCCUGUCUGAAUAUGGGGGGACCAUCCUCCAAGGCUAAAUACUCCUGACUGACCGAUAGUGAACCAGUACCGUGAGGGAAAGGCGAAAAGAACCCCGGCGAGGGGAGUGAAAAAGAACCUGAAACCGUGUACGUACAAGCAGUGGGAGCCUCUUAAUGGGGUGACUGCGUACCUUUUGUAUAAUGGGUCAGCGACUUAUAUUCUGUAGCAAGGUUAACCGAAUAGGGGAGCCGAAGGGAAACCGAGUCUUAACUGGGCGUUAAGUUGCAGGGUAUAGACCCGAAACCCGGUGAUCUAGCCAUGGGCAGGUUGAAGGUUGGGUAACACUAACUGGAGGACCGAACCGACUAAUGUUGAAAAAUUAGCGGAUGACUUGUGGCUGGGGGUGAAAGGCCAAUCAAACCGGGAGAUAGCUGGUUCUCCCCGAAAGCUAUUUAGGUAGCGCCUCGUGAAUUCAUCUCCGGGGGUAGAGCACUGUUUCGGCAAGGGGGUCAUCCCGACUUACCAACCCGAUGCAAACUGCGAAUACCGGAGAAUGUUAUCACGGGAGACACACGGCGGGUGCUAACGUCCGUCGUGAAGAGGGAAACAACCCAGACCGCCAGCUAAGGUCCCAAAGUCAUGGUUAAGUGGGAAACGAUGUGGGAAGGCCCAGACAGCCAGGAUGUUGGCUUAGAAGCAGCCAUCAUUUAAAGAAAGCGUAAUAGCUCACUGGUCGAGUCGGCCUGCGCGGAAGAUGUAACGGGGCUAAACCAUGCACCGAAGCUGCGGCAGCGACACUAUGUGUUGUUGGGUAGGGGAGCGUUCUGUAAGCCUGUGAAGGUGUACUGUGAGGUAUGCUGGAGGUAUCAGAAGUGCGAAUGCUGACAUAAGUAACGAUAAAGCGGGUGAAAAGCCCGCUCGCCGGAAGACCAAGGGUUCCUGUCCAACGUUAAUCGGGGCAGGGUGAGUCGACCCCUAAGGCGAGGCCGAAAGGCGUAGUCGAUGGGAAACAGGUUAAUAUUCCUGUACUUGGUGUUACUGCGAAGGGGGGACGGAGAAGGCUAUGUUGGCCGGGCGACGGUUGUCCCGGUUUAAGCGUGUAGGCUGAUUUUCCAGGCAAAUCCGGAAAAUCAAGGCUGAGGCGUGAUGACGAGGCACUACGGUGCUGAAGCAACAAAUGCCCUGCUUCCAGGAAAAGCCUCUAAGCAUCAGGUAACAUCAAAUCGUACCCCAAACCGACACAGGUGGUCAGGUAGAGAAUACCAAGGCGCUUGAGAGAACUCGGGUGAAGGAACUAGGCAAAAUGGUGCCGUAACUUCGGGAGAAGGCACGCUGAUAUGUAGGUGAAGUCCCUCGCGGAUGGAGCUGAAAUCAGUCGAAGAUACCAGCUGGCUGCAACUGUUUAUUAAAAACACAGCACUGUGCAAACACGAAAGUGGACGUAUACGGUGUGACGCCUGCCCGGUGCCGGAAGGUUAAUUGAUGGGGUUAGCGGUAACGCGAAGCUCUUGAUCGAAGCCCCGGUAAACGGCGGCCGUAACUAUAACGGUCCUAAGGUAGCGAAAUUCCUUGUCGGGUAAGUUCCGACCUGCACGAAUGGCGUAAUGAUGGCCAGGCUGUCUCCACCCGAGACUCAGUGAAAUUGAACUCGCUGUGAAGAUGCAGUGUACCCGCGGCAAGACGGAAAGACCCCGUGAACCUUUACUAUAGCUUGACACUGAACAUUGAGCCUUGAUGUGUAGGAUAGGUGGGAGGCUUUGAAGUGUGGACGCCAGUCUGCAUGGAGCCGGCCUUGAAAUACCACCCUUUAAUGUUUGAUGUUCUAACGUUGGCCCCUGAUCGGGGUUGCGGACAGUGUCUGGUGGGUAGUUUGACUGGGGCGGUCUCCUCCUAAAGAGUAACGGAGGAGCACGAAGGUUGGCUAAUCCUGGUCGGACAUCAGGAGGUUAGUGCAAUGGCAUAAGCCAGCUUGACUGCGAGCGUGACGGCGCGAGCAGGUGCGAAAGCAGGUCAUAGUGAUCCGGUGGUUCUGAAUGGAAGGGCCAUCGCUCAACGGAUAAAAGGUACUCCGGGGAUAACAGGCUGAUACCGCCCAAGAGUUCAUAUCGACGGCGGUGUUUGGCACCUCGAUGUCGGCUCAUCACAUCCUGGGGCUGAAGUAGGUCCCAAGGGUAUGGCUGUUCGCCAUUUAAAGUGGUACGCGAGCUGGGUUUAGAACGUCGUGAGACAGUUCGGUCCCUAUCUGCCGUGGGCGCUGGAGAACUGAGGGGGGCUGCUCCUAGUACGAGAGGACCGGAGUGGACGCAUCACUGGUGUUCGGGUUGUCAUGCCAAUGGCACUGCCCGGUAGCUAAAUGCGGAAGAGAUAAGUGCUGAAAGCAUCUAAGCACGAAACUUGCCCCGAGAUGAGUUCUCCCUGACUCUUUAAGGGUCCUGAAGGAACGUUGAAGACGACGACGUUGAUAGGCCGGGUGUGUAAGCGCAGCGAUGCGUUGAGCUAACCGGUACUAAUGAACCGUGAGGCUUAACCUUACAACGCCGAAG
rnacentral:rRNA from 2 species